GGGAGCUGAUGCUGCUAGUUCUCGAAUCCUCCCCAUUAGAGAAGAGAAACAGCCGGAGUCGUGCGGAGCGAGGGUUCUGAUUCAAUAAAACCCGAUCGUAUUCUUCCAUCAUAUUGUCUACAUCCUCAUCGGUUGUAACAGAUAUCAAAGCAUCGAGAUCUUCAUUGGGUAGCUGAUACUUGACGCUCAAGUUAGCAAUACCAGAGAGUUUGGAUAGUUUAGUGAGGAGAGCAGAGUAGCUGGUAGCGCGGUGAACGACGACGAUGCGAGUCUCCCCACCAACAUAACGGAGCUGAUUGUCAUGGGGACGAGGAAGAAUCUUACCACCAAAACUACACAUGAAGCGGACUCGCGGAUCGUGGGAGCCAUAUUGAUCGGAGCGAGGAGAAGACUGGCCGGAGUCUGUGGCGGCAGAUUCGAGCUCUGAUGCCUGAAGCGAUGCCAUAUCCUUCUUAAUUUGCUACUACAAAUGGAGAAAUGGGAAGUUUUAUUGGAUUCUCCGACUAAAAAAAAUCAAUCUUCUUUUGUUAUUGUUUUGUCAUUGAAAGUUUUCUCCAAGGUAAAAAGCGUAACGGUAAACAAAUCAAAGAGAGGAGAAAUGGUG
rnacentral:misc_RNA from 1 species